ensembl:lncRNA
CAGAGAGGAAGAAAGGUCCAAUGCAUACUUGUCUUCCUUCCUUUGCAGUCUGUGCAUAUGCUAGUCUGAAAGCAGUAAUCCACUUUACCAAAUCAAGUUAUUUUUAAAAAAUUUUCUGGGAACUGAAGCUGCUGUACCUUUUUCUAAGGUUUCUAAAUAAUAAACAUUUGAAUUUGGUUCUGUGAAAUGAAAUUAUUCUGUUGAGGAGGACGGUUGCUGGUUUGUUCCAGUCUACAGCUGAGAGAGGCUUUCCCACUCAAUCUCUUCUUUUAUGCCAUUUCUUGGAUUUGCAGGUCUCUCUUCUGUCUCCCACUCUUCAAACUUUCUGGACCUCUACACUCUACUUGGUAUUUUCUCAAUUGUUUGUGUGUUAAUGCUGCCGAGAGGGAAAAAUUCCUAAAAGAAGGAGAGGCAAUUUGACUGUGCUGUUUUGUGCUUGCACCUGGGUGACUGGUGGCUGACCAUCCAGCAAGUGGGUAAACAAAAAGCCACAAGCAGUCCUGGAAAAUGGAAACUCUGCCCCUUUAUCUGUUACAAAGCUGCACCAGUCUGCUGAGUGCAAAAAAUGCAUUGUUCAGUAAACCCAGCGAAGACCAUAAGAAGUCCUUAGCAAAAUAAGUUGCAUCUGGAAGCAUUCUAAGGACAAAAUUCAGUCAAAAACCUUUGAAGGGGAGGUCUAAGAACUGCAGCAUUUCAGACUCCAGGAUAAAGUUUUGGAAAAUUUCAGUUUAGGAUUCCAUUUCAUUCUCACAUUAGGCACCUAAAUCUUGUUUCUCACUUUUCUUUUGAAUAAGUAAAUGUGUGUAUAUAUAUAUAUAUGUAAUUUACUCAUUUAUUAAGUAUUUUCAUUCAAGUUUUCAAUCCAAAUUUCUGCUAUUGCACUUACUUGUGAAAUUGAAUGCACUCUGGAACAAUGUGAAUAAACUCCUUAGAAAUAGAAGAACUGCCUUCUUAGAUAAAGACUCAGCAUGUCAUAACCAAGGUUAGCUCCAAAAGGUCUUAGUACCUGUCAUUUCAAGGGCACAAAGAAAUAUCUUCAAGACUUCAUCUCAGCUGCUAUUUUGUUUUUCAGCUUAGCCUAAAAUAGUGUUUAUUACAAACUAGUAGUGUCUAAUGAGUAAGUAUGAUAAAAAUAACUUUCUAGACUUGAUAAAGAAAAAUAAACAAAGUGGCUUUGAGUGGUACAAUAAAUACUUUUUAUUUUUCAAUUGUAUUAGUACUUCUAAGUACACAGUUGCUUAUUGGUAUAUUAAAUAGUGAACCUAUUGAAUCUACACACUGCAAUGCUAAUGACUUUGUGUGUUUGAAAAUUGUUUAGGGAUGGUUAUCUUGUCCAGUUCAGAUAAGGCAGAGAUGUAUUCCCCACACAACUAGACGUGUUGGCCAUCUACAGGCAAACUCUGCUGUGGAUGCAUAAGAAAUACAUUUAUAAAUGUAUUUAUAUUAUAUUUUAGUAUUAUCAAAUAUCAAAAUAAUUUUGCAUAUGAACAUAGUUAGCAUGUAUCACCUGCUAGCCUUUUUUCUAUUAAAAAAAAAAAGAGAACCAAAGAGAGAAUUCUCAACUUUCUGUUUCUCUGCUUUUUGUAUAGUAUCUUUGGGCCGACAUCCGUGCAUUCAGUUUCCAAGAUCAAACUUUAUAUGCAUGUGUUAAAGACAGUUUCAACUCACAGCAACUCAAUACUUUUAUAUCAAAUUUAGUUGAUUUUGUAUUUGUGAUCUUCGCUAAUGUACCAGGAAAAUUAUAUUUGUAAAAGCACAGGCGUAAAGAAUUACAAAAUUGUUCUUUGUCCAUUGUAUUAUCUUGCAAUACAAUGGUAACAUGCUCAAUAUUCACUUGGCCCAGAAUAUGAACUCUUAGAGAUCCACAUUCCUCAUUUACAGGCAGGACUCACCAGUUAAGAAGACUCUCCUUAACCUAUGGGUGUGGGUAACCAGAGCUCUAACAGAGUACCUAUUUAUUUUAAUUAAUUGUUACUGUUACUUUCAAUAACUGAACAUCUGAGGAAUGAAGUGAGCAGUUGAUCCCAAAGCAACAAUGAAAGAAUGAACUGGAUGAUUAGAGGCAGGGCCCCAGAAAGUGAGUACAGCCCAGCAUCCUGUGCCAAAAGAAAGCACUUCAAGCACAUUCAAGUGCACUACAAGCUCCUGGGGGGAUUAGAACUAGUGGUACUGGAACAAGAGAGACAAAUAAUGCACAUAUCAAAGUAAGUAGUUACACUGUGUACAGGAAGUAUUAAAAUAUAACACAAAGAAUAAGAAAUGGAAGACAAUUCAAACCACUGUUGUCAGCACCAAAAAAGCCAACUUUUAUUUGUGAAGUGUAUUUCAGGAAAGUGGAAGAGAAAAGAAUAUAGAAAGCAGUAUAUGUAAGGAAAGAUGGAGGGUGAAGUUUGGGGUUAAGGCUCAGAAGUUUUUAAACAAAGUGUUUACUAAAUGAUGGAAUACUGUGUGAUCCACUUACAAAUAGGAGCUGAGCUUUUAUCUAUACUUAGAUAAGGCAUGCUUAAAUAAAUAAAUAAAUUUUGUAACUGGACAUCCAGAAAUGCUACUUGGGGCUGUGAAUUUGAACAAGUAGUAGGAAAAACAAGAAACCUAAAGCACGAGCAAGUGUGACUCAAGGACUGUGUCAAAAGUAGCAGGAUAAAGCAACUGUAACUUCCCCUUUGGAUUUGGAAAAGCAUUCGAAGUAGUAAAAUGAAGUAGAUAGCCAGAUAGUCUCAUUAAAAUAGCAACAAUAAAUGACCCUUUCUCAAGCAAGGCCAAGUAAUGAUACUGAUUUGGACUCAACAGCAGGAGCUGGAAAAGAAUCUUUUCCCCUGUUUGGCUAGCUUCCCCCAUUUAAGAACUUCAAACAUUGCUGGGCUUCUCCAUUUUUAUUUUAUUUUUUUUUUAAUUUAUUUCCAUGCCUAGGGAAGCCAAUUUGGAGAGAAGGGUCCUGCUCUAUGCAUUACAAUGUCAGGACUCAAGUGCAAAGUAACUUAUAGUACCGGCACAUCUUGAACCAUAAGAUUUUGGAGAAAAUCCUAUAUAAAACUUUUCCUAACCUCAGGAGACUCAUUACUAUCUUCCUUAUCAAAUCCCAUCUCAGUAAUGGGCUACACAGGGAAUGUAAUCUCUAUGACUGUUGGGCAGUGGAACCUAGACAAGGUACUCUACAAAAAUGAAGUAUUAUUUUCAGACUAUUGCUCAGACAUUGUGUUUGUUCACCAGUAAGUUAAAUAACCAAUACACAAUGUCUGUUUUUAUACCAUUUCAGCCUUUAAAAAAAAAUCACUCUAGGAAAAAACAACUUAUCUUCUGCAAAAAGAAGCCCAUUAAUCUUUCAAGAAGCAAUAAAUGGCAGAAUGGCAGACAUUUCUAAUGUGUAGGUGUUAUGGGAGGGAGGGAAGGAGUCUAGGGACAGGAAGGGUGUCUAGUUACCAUGCUAAACCUUAGCCUUUUAGAAUGUGACUAUUUUAUUAUGAAUUGAGGCAUACAGGCUGCUGUCAGCUGUUGGUCUUCAAACUUUCAUUGAACACCUAUUCUUCAAUUAUUAUUAUUUUUUUUUAACUCCCAGCUUUGUUGACAUCAUUUGUCUUACCUUUCUGCCUCUUCUUUUUCAAUGUACUAGUUGUUGAGAAAAGAAUGAAGUGUAUGCUGACUAAGCCUUUUUUUUUUUCUUUUUUUUUCUUUUUUGAAAGGAAGUAAGGCAGAGUUGUAAAAUCUGAAAAAGAGCAAAGGAGUGAGGUCCUCUGACCAGUUGUUAGCUGUCUUGAGAGUGAGCACUAAAUGAAAUGAACUAGCUAAUUCUCAGACGUGAAUACAUUUGCCAAGUCACUGGCUGCGAGAAUACUGUUUAGGGAUUGUUCAUACAGCAUCAUUAUGCAGUUUGUGAUCGAUCUUAAAGAUGAUAAUCAGUGGCAUGACUGUUUACCCUAACCAGUACAUACAGAGAUGAUGUGGCAGAUAUUUAUUCUAAGUUUAGAAAAACAACUGGGAACAGAGUAAAGGUUUUCCAAAGAAAUACUCAAGUGUUCCUCUCUGAGAAACUUUGUUCCUGUGUUUUUACUACAGUAGGAUAGUAAAUAAGCUAAUGCAAUUUCUGAGUCCUUUGCCACCUCAUCUCUUACAAAUGAUUCUCUUUCAAAUCACCCAUAACUGCUUAAAAUGAAAACAAAUACCAAACAUUGGAGACAGCCUGUAGUUGUUUUGUUUUGUUUUGUUUUUCAAAAAAAAAGUCAUCUUUUGUGUUUCAGUAGUAUGUAACUAAUAGAUAGAACACCACCAAAAAAGGCAACCAGGAAAGUCCAAAGUUAACCACACUGCUAGGAUUCCUACUGACCCAAAUUCUUAGAACAUUCAUCACACACUGGACAAAUACAAGGAGCCAUAUCUGACAAGAACAUUGUACUUAUAGCAUAGAUAAGUUUAUCCUAGAUCUGGAGUUCUCUUUUCACUUAAUGUGCUCUGCAAGGCUAGGAAAAAAAAACAGAUAGGACCGAGUUAGCGUGAAAAGAAAGAAGUUACUUAGCAGGAAUGAAGACUAUCCAUAAUCACAUCAGAACUGAGCUAUUUCCAUGAAACAUUUUAACUUCCAAUUAGUACAUUCGGUGAGGAAAACAGCGUGGCUCUCUGUAUCAAGAUAAGAACCUCUUACGUUACCUAAGUAUGCUUCAUGACAGGUGAAGAGCAAGGACAUAGGAAAAUAAUUAGACUGUGGGAAAAGAAUGGCCUCCCUCAAGGAGUAUGCAAAUAAAGUACAAAUGUCUAUAGUCUCUCAGAAACCAGUAACAUAAAUAAGACAUAUGAGACAAUUAGAAUUGUUUUCAGUUUUCUUUCUAGCAAUCUCCCAAAUAUUAGCAUUAAGAAACAAUAUGGAAGAAGAUCAAGUAGAAUUUCAAUGCAGGCAUUUGUUUUCAAAUUCUGAGAUAUACAUGCUUCUCUCACCUCUCAUCAGAAAACAUGUGCAGAACUGGUUUUCAUGCAAGCAAAUAAAAAGAACUGUACCUAGUUUACUGUACAUACGUUGUGUAGUUACUACUCAUUGCAUUUCUGUCUCUCACUCUCUUCAUCGCCGUAGAAAAAUAGCUUCCCACUACAUCAACAUGCAUCAGACAGAAUUGUAAACAUUUUAUUGUUAUUCUCAUAGUGAAAAAAUGCAUUCAAAUUGAUUAGCUUUUAGCAAAAAGAAUGGCCUGUGUUUCCUGUUCUUUCCUUGGCCAUUUCCUGUCUCAGUUGUUUUUGGUUACAGAUACAGACACUGAACAUUCAUUUCACAGCACAUGACAGGACAGGUUUUGAUGACAGGAGCCUGAGUGGUCAAACUGCAUUUGAUGACAAGUGUCAACCUCUGAAGUUUCUGUUGCAGUGCUCACUAAAACUUCAACAAUCAAGGAAGGAUGCCAGUUUAGUUUACUUCCUGCACGGUUCCCCUGCUGGCAAAAGAAGAGGGCAGGAUGCAGUAUCAGCAACCUUAGGGCUUUUGUCUUCUAGAGCAAAUGCUGGCCAGGCAGGCGUGAGCAGGCAAGUAACAGUGACUUCCAGGACUAGGAAAAGAGACUGAAGCAUGGCACAGAAAGCAUACUUGGUGCCAGACACAUCCAGGCAGGGAAGAUGGAAACACAUCAAACAAAGCCUGGUAGCUCACCCACACAACCAGCUUUUGCUCAGAUCCUUCUGAUUCUGAAUUACUGGAUUAUUAGUCUUUGAAUUCACAGUUAAUUUUUUGACAGGCUGAACUAGUUCCAUGGAAGUUGUACCAUUCUGGGAGGUAUAGGCAUAGGUUAGAACAUACCAGUUCACUGCUCUCAAGGCACUAAGGCUGCACUGGGUUAAUGGUUACCACAUGCAUGUACAAAUCCCAGGAUCUAUUUCCCUCAUCACCUCAAGAUACUGGAAAAAAAGUGAUCUGACUUAGAGUCUCUUACAGCAGAGUAAAGCAGAGCCUUAAAGCUGUUUCCCUGUUGUGGUUUUGUGAUUUUUGUCGGUAUUCCACAUCAGAGCAUCAUGUAAAGCAGUGGGAGUUAAAGAGUUUAUGUUCUGGUUCUGUGGACUGCCUUUUUUGGGCAUUUUGGGUUCUCAGAGGGGAGGGGAGGGAAGGAGCCGCAUUCGCAGAGGACCUGACACGCAGAAUAAGAAAGGUGGAGCUCCUGGCAGGACGGCAGCCACUCGCUAUCUGUCUUGGUUUGUCGCUGAGGAAAGCACGUGCUUCCCUGCAGUCUACUAGUGUAAGGCCUCAAAUUUUGGAUACUCUUUUCUCUCUUAUUUUGUUUGAUUUUGUUGGAUUUAGUACAGAUUGUUGUUGGUUUUUUUGUUUGUUUGUUUGUUUGUUUGUUUUUCUCAGACCCAUCUACUGUCUCCCUACCCUUCCCCCUCUCCUGGAGCGCACAGCCUGCCCAGGCUGGCCGUGCUGCAAAAGGUGGGGCGGUUUUUUUUCCCCUCUCUCCUCUGUCUCUUUUCUGGGCUUUUGUGCCCCUAUCACAGACUCGGAUCUAGAGAUAUCUCUGUGACAAUUAUUGGUGGAGGAUGUGGGCAGCUAUGGAUCUCUACUUCAUUUUAAGAAUAUUGUAUAGAGGACUGAGGACCAUUACAUUCUUUGGAACGUAUUGGUUCCUUUUUAAGUUCCUCAUGUUCAGUGUCAUAGUUGCAUAUACGUAUAACCAGUUAAGGGCACUGAUGGAGAUACCUGCCUGGUUCCUAUACAUCCUGACUGAUUUAAAAGACAACAUGAUAUUUGUACUGGCUUCCAGGUGCUCUUUUCUCAGUUUCUUAUGCAUGUUCGGAAUGCCAGCUUAGGUACUGUGCUAUCAGUCUCUCUGAAUGUAUUCUCUAUGAUAGGAUUUUACAUUAUGUGGAGAAAGCUUUCCCCAGAACCAGAGAAUGUGGAGUGGUGGGGAAUAUGGAGAGGUUUAGGAAAAAGAAUAGAAGUGUGGGGACCCCCAGUGUCAUGGGAUUUCACUCUUGAACACCUGUAGGAUCCUGAGGAACUAAGUGAGUAUUUGAGUAAGGGAUGGUGCAGCUCAGAAAGAUCUGAGGAGGAACGGCUUAUCUGGGGCUUCGCUUGUGCUUACCGAGCUCUAUAUAAUACUAUUCUGGAGAGAGAGAGUUUCCAAACCAAGAUCCGAACCAAAGGGGGAAACCUCCAAGUCAAACCCAACCGAUCACAGGAAGCACCAGUAUCAAUGUCAGUUGCCCCUGCACAAGGCCAGGAAUGGAAAUAGGUGUCCUUGCAUCUAAAAUGGAAAGAAGCAGCAGAGGAAGAAGAGGAAGAUUUAGGCAAGGGACCUCCCCAAAACCACCAUCACCAAGAAAGGCAACUGAGAAAAGUAAGAGACCUGGAGAGGAGAGUGAGGAAGAGGGAGUCAUUGUUACCACUUUUCGCCGACCCCUGAAAAUGACUGAAAUCCACAGCUGAAGAAAGGAGUUUAUACAGCACCUGAAUGAAACUAUUGUUACCUGGUUGCUUCAGUGUUGAGACAAUGGGGCCAGUAGCGUGUCUGUAGAUGGUAGCAAAGCUCGCCAACUAGGAAACAUUGCCCGAGACUCAUCUAUUGACAGAGGGAUUAGUAGAUCUCUGAACAGAGCCGCCACCCUCUGGGAACGGAUAUUAUUUGCUGUGAAGGAAAGACAUCCCUUAAAAGAUGAUCUGGAGCCUAAGAUGUGAGAAUCGAAUACUGUUGAGAAAGGCAUCCAGUAUUAGAGAAACAGCGGUGGUUGUUGGAUGGUCCCACAUUUGUUCCUAACGAUCCACACCAGGACCAUGACCCUGAGGGAUUGAGGAGUACACCUGAUAUAUGGCAGAAUCUCACAAGAACAGCACCAGAAAGGUAAGCCAGUAGACUAGUAGUUACAUUCGAUAGAUAUGAGGACCUAAACAGAAGACACCCAGUUUUUGAGCUGAUUCUUACACUUCAAAGCUUUGAACAAGAAUUACCACCAUCCCAUGCUUCCAUCUCAUCCAUCUCCCAAAUGACAGAAAGACUAGAUAAAGUGGAUAAGAGGAUGGAUAAAAUGGGUAAGAAACAGGAUGGCAUACUGGAGGAAUUGUCCCUAGUGAUUAAUCGUGAUGAACCCGUGGCAGUAUGAGAAACACCUGAUGAAGACCAGGAUGAUCAAAAGAAUCUGUUAAAGGAUCUGAUCAAACUGAUAAAAGUCUCAGCUAUCAAAGGCAAACGCCUCCCUGCUUGAGCAAAUGACAUUAGUAGAUCUAUGUCGCGUGCUGCCCUGUGGAGCUACUUACAUGAGCAUGAAGAGAACAUGAAGAAGUGACAUGACCAACCCACUCCUGCACUACAAGCACAGGUGGGAGAAUUACAAAACAAAUCAACCACAACUGAAAUUGCUCCUGUUACUGCAGGUAACCAAUAGAGGGGCCCUGCCCUCAGUCAGGGGGAGAAAGGGAUAACAGAGUGUAUGAGACUGUGCGGAUUUAAUGGCCUGGCACGACACAACCACAGGAUUAUAAGGCACUGGUGGACACCAGUGCCCAGUACACUCUAAUGCUCUCGAGUUAUAAGAGGAUAGAAUUGAUUUUUAUUUCUGGAGUGACUGGGGGCUCUCAGGAAUUGUCUGUGUUGGAGGCAGAAAUAAGCCUCACCGGUAAAGGCUGGCAGAUACAUAUUAUCUCAGAUGGGGGCAUUUCAAGGGUCCCAAGGGAUACCAAUGGGCUUUUGGAAUAGCUGCUGUAGAUACAGACAACAUUAAGCAGCUGUCUGUCUUGUCUGGCCUGUCAGAAGACCCAUCUGUUGUGGGGCUACUAGAGGUAAAAGAUGAGCAGGUACCAAUUGCUACAAAAAUGGUACACAGAUGGCAGUACCACACCAACAGGGAUUCCUUGCUCCCCAUUCAUAUGCUGAUUCGUCAGCUAGAGAGGCAGAGUGAUCAGAAACUCACUCACCUUUUAACAGCCCCAUAUGGCCGGUGCAUAAAGCCAGUGGAGAAUAGAAGCUGACAGUAGACUACCAUGGCCUGAAUGAAGUCACACCCCCACUGCUACUGAGCACCACUAUGCCAGAUAUGUUAGAACUCCAGUACAAAUUGGAGUCGAAAGCAGCCAAAUGGUAUGCCACCACUGACAUUGCCAAUGCGUUCUUUUCCAUUCCUUUAGCCACAGAAUGCAGGCCACAGCUUGCUUUUACAUGGAGGGGUGUUCACUACACCUGGAACCAUUUGCCCCAGGGGUGGAAACACAGCCCAGCCAUUUGCCGUGGGUUGAUCCAAACCACAUUGAAACAGGGCAGUGCUCCCGAGCACCUGCAGUACAUCGAUGACACUGUGGUGUGGGGCAAUACAGCAGAGGAAGUUUUUAAGCAAAUAAUCCAAAUUCUUCUGUGUGCUGGUUUAGCUAUUAAGUGAAACAAAGUGAAAGGACCUGCCCAAGAAAUUCAGUUACUAGGAGUAAAAUGGCAAGAUGGGUGUCAUCACAUCCCAGGAGAUGUGACCAACAAAAUCACCACUAUGUCUCCACCCACUAGCAAGAGACACAGUGUGGGUGCAGUGGGCUUUUGGAGAAUGCACAUCCCAAACUACAGUCUCAUAAUAAGCACCCUCUAUCAGGUGACAUGAAAGAAGAACAAUUACUGCUGAAGAGCAGCAGGCUUUUGAGAAGAUUAAACAAGAGAUAGUACGUGCCGUGGCACUGGGGCCAGUAUGGAUGGGACAGGAUUUAAAGAACAUCCUCUACACUGCUGCUGGAGAGAAAGGUCCCACUUGGAGCCUGUGGCAAAGAGCUUCAGGACAGACCCAAGGCCAACCCCUGGGAUUCUGGAGUCGAGCGUACAGAGGGUCUGUAUAGUGCUACACUCCAACUAAGCCACAUAUGAGGGGGUUCAGGCUGCUUCUGAAGUAGUCGGUACUGAAAAGCAGCACCUUCUAGCAUCUUGACUGCCAGUGCUGAACUGGAUGUUCAGAGGAAAGGUUCCCUCCACCCAUCAUGCUACUGAUGCCACUUGGAGCAAGUGGAUUGUGUUGAUUAUGCAGCGAGCUUGGAUGGGGAACCUCAGCCGCCCAGGAAUCCUAGAGGUGAUCAUGGACUGGCCUGAAGGCAAAAAGUUUGGAACAUCACCAGCAGAAGAAGUAUUGCGUGCUAAAGAGGGCCCACCAUACAAUGAACUACCAGAAGAUGAAAAGAAAUAUGCCCUGUUCACAGAUGGAUCACGUUGUAUUGUGGGGAAGUAUCGCAGAUGGAAAGCUGCUGUGUGGAGCCCCACACGACAAGUUGCAGAGGCCACCAAAGAUAAAGGAGAAUCAAGCUAAUUUGCAGAGGUAAAGGCUGUCCAGCUGGCCUUAGAUGUUGCUGAACAGGAGAGCAAAACAGCUGGCAAAGAAGGGUAAACUUAUUUGGGCUGCUGAACUGUGGAAAGACAUUGCUGCCCAAAUAAAGAAUAUGGUUAUAAAGGAGCGUCAUGUAGAUGCUCAUGUGCCCAAGAGUAGGGCUACUGAAGAACAGCAAAAUAACCAUCAGGUAGAUCGAGCUGCCAAAACCAAGGUGGCUCAGAUAGAUUUGGACUGGCAAAACAAGAGUGAAUUAUUUCUGGCUCGGUGGGCCCAUGAGACUUCAGGUCGUCAAGGAAGAGACACAACAUAUAAGUGGGCUAGAGACGGAGGGGUGGACUUAACUAUGGACACUAUUGCACAGGUUGUUCAUGACUGUGACACAUGCGCCACAAUUAAACAAGCCAAGAGAAUGAGACCUCUCUGGGGGGAAGGACAAUGGCAAGAAUAUAAAUAUGGAGAGGCGUGGCAGGUUGAUUAUAUCACCUUGCCACGAUCUCACAAUGGUAAGCGUUAUGUGCUUACCAUGGUGGAGGCAACCACUGGGUGGCUUGAAACAUACGCAGUACCCCAUGCUACUGCCCGAAACACCAUAUUAGGUCUGGAGAAGCAAAUCCUGUGGCGACAUGGCACCCCAGAAAGAAUUGAGUCAGAUAAUGGGACUCAUUUCAAAAAUUCACUUGUGGAUAUUUGGACCAAAGAUCAUUGAGUGGCCAUUGACCAUCCACUCAAAGGCCAUUGAGUGGAUUUAUCAUAUCCCCUACAAUGCACCAGCUUCUGGUAAUAUCAAACGCUACAACGGGUUGUUAAAAACCAUGUUGAAAGCAAUGGGUGGCGGAACACUGAAGCACUGGGGGAAACAUUUGACAGAAGCCACCUGGUUGGUCAACACUAAAGGAUUGGCCAAUUGAGAUGGUCCUACACAGUCCAGCUCCCUACAUACUCUAGAGGGAGACACGGUCCUUGUGGUAAAUGUAAAGAGCGUGCUGGGAAAAGCAGUUUGGGUCCUUUCAGUUUCUGGGAGGGGCAAACCCCUCCGUGGAACUGUUUUUACACAGGGACCUCCGUUCACCUGUGGUGGAUGAGGUGGGUGAUAUAGAAAAAUGGGGACAUCCAGUGUGUACCACAAGGAAAUUUGAUGCUGGGGGAGUGCAGUCAGUUAUUCCAUGUAUAUAUAUAUGUAUAUAUGCGUAUGUAAUACAUGUUAAUUACUGUUUUGUUUGUAUACAGAUAUAUGUUAAGCAUGAUGUAGUGAUGUGGAAUAAGGAGUGGAAUGUUGUGGUUUGGGGAUUUUUGUUGUCAGUAUUCCACAUCAGAGCAUCAUGUAAAACAGUGGGAGUUAAAGAGUUUAUGUUCUGGUUCUGUGGACUGCCUUUUUUGGGCAUUUUGGGUUCUCAGAGGGGAGGGGAGGGAAGGAGCCGCAUUCGCAGAGGACCUGACACGCAGAAUAAGAAAGGUGGAGCUGCGGGUGGGACAGGGGUCGCUCGCUCUGUCUCUGGGUUUGUCACUGAGGAAAGCACGUGCUUCCCUGCAGUCUACUAGUGUAAGGCCUCAAAUUUUGGAUACUCUUUUCUCUCUUAUUUUGUUUGAUUUUGUUGGAUUUAGUAAAGUACCGUUCCUCCUCAGAGCGUUGCCGUUGUUUUUUUUGUUUGUUUUUGUUUGUUUUUGUUGUUGUUGUUGUUUGUUUUUUUUUUGUCAGACCCAUCUACUGUCUCCCUACCCUUCCCCCUCUCCUGGAACGCACAGCCUGCCCGGGCCGGCCCUGCUGCAAAAGGCUAUCUAUGUUGCUAGGUUGAGUAGUAGCUGAACAGCUCUCCCAUGCAGACACAUUACAGAAGUAUAAAAUAUCACCACCAUUUAAUGAGACUGGGAAACAAAAUUUGUACAGAAGACAUUUAUGUUAUUUGCAUGGAUCACUAGGCAUAAAGAUGACUGACACCAUAUAACAACUGGGCAUACAAAAGAAUCACUCUAUCAAAGAAGGUAUUUUCAGCUCUAAAAAUAUAAGUGUUUAAGAUAUGUGUGUUUGGUCUGGAAUCAUCAUUGUAUCCUGAGAUUCUUCCUAUCCUGGACUGGUCUAUUUCCUUUAGCAAAUUUUUUACAAUGGACUAUUUAAAGAAAUUGUGAGGAGUAAAUAUAUACUUAUAUACUUCUACAAUUUUAUCAUAUUUUAUUUAUCUGCAGUGACUACAUACUUUUAAAAUCCAAGAGCCACUGAAUAUUAUAUGCAGCAGAUGAAGACUUCUUCAGCUGGACAAAAAUUCCAGACUUCUAAAGGAGGAAAACUGUUACAUUUGAUCUCUCAGGGUAACCACCUCCUGAGACCUAAGUUCUUGCAAUCUUAGCCUUGUUUUCCCAUAAAAACACAUAAAAAGGGGUUUCUAAUAAGAAACCCAUACAGGAGCUCAGGACAUUUCUCUCAUGCAAUCCAUUAAUUACCCAAAGAAAACCAAUCAUUAUAGAUCUAACAUUGACUUUAGCUUGUCUCUUGCUUCAUAGCAUUUAUUAUUGUUUACUGAAGACAUGAUGCAAUCCUGGCAAACCAUCCAAACCAGCACCCACCUAGUUCCAGCAUGUGUUACUGACUGAGACAGACAGCCAUUCUCCAAGUCAUCAGUUGUUAAAGCCAUUGCAAAAAUCACCAUGAGGUGAUUUUUAUUACUCACCACACUCUUGGGAGGGAUUGCUCCUAAACUACCAGUUACCCCACCUUAAAAUAACUUUUCCUUUCAUGUACUUGGAAAUGCUGCAGCAUAACUGAGGUCAGAGAAAGCAAAAUAAACACCAUCUUUGGUCUGCAUAUCAUUUCACUCUCAUGACUUCCUCCUUUGAUGCAGUUUAAACCUGUUGCCUACAGACCACUGAAAGAUCCUAACUUAGGACUAAGAGAAAUGCAAAAGAUAAUCAUGGAGCUCUAUGCUUAUGAGCCACUAAACUAGCCCAGUUCAUAAUAACAAGGACUUUCCCCCUCCCUUCAGAAAGUACUUCAUGGAGAGGAGCAAUAGGAACCAAAGACAGACACUACAGAAUAUUAUUGCUCUAUUUUCUCACCUGUGCAUUGCUCUGACGUUUUCACACAACAGUGCUCUCAGGGAGAGAACAAGAAGCCCAACUCAGCUUCACUGCACUCUAGAACCCCGGGGAGGACAUCUCCCUGUCUACCGGCUGGAGGAAAGAUCUGAAGGAACAUUGAGAUUUAGCACCUGAUUUGUUGUUGUUGUUGUUGUUUAGUUUUUUGCUUUUUAAAUUAACUUUCCCCUUUUCCUCCGGUUUUUCUUUAUUUGCUCUCCUUAAGUGCCAAAAAAGAUGGCUUAUGCUAUUGAUGAUUUGUUCACUGACAUAGCCAUCUCUUUCCCUCCCCAGUAAGGCAGCAGAAUCCCAGCAAUUUUUCUCCUUUCCUAUCAGUUUAUGUAGCUCACCUAACCAUUGUGCUACUCAGACUUCUAAAACAGUUAUAAAAUUAAGGAUAACUUAGGUCACGGCAAGUUACGUUCCAGGAAGCCUUAAUUCAUAAGAGAUUCACUGAAGUUCUAUCACUAACUAAUGGUGACUAUUUAAGCAUACAAAAGCAUCUAUUACCAUUGUUCCUGAAUAAGUUCAUUCCUUUGCUAGGACUUCCAUCUCUGCUACAGAUGCUGAAUUUCUGUAUGGUUCAUGCAACAGAGGUUACUUCCAGUAACACAGGGUAGAGGGGAAAUUGCCAUAGCAGUCUCCUUUUCUUUUCCCGCUAUGGAAACUAUCUAACCUUACAGGAAAUACAUGAUUUAUGAGCCAAAUUCAAUUCAUUAAAAUUUCAUAAACAAAUAGCACAAACAGGAUAUGAACAACACAGGUUGUACUGAAAACCCAAAGGCAAUAAUAUGUAUGUCUCAGUAUUUUACUUCAUGUCCACUUUAGUGCUAGCUUGGUCCCAGAAACUGAUUACCUAUUAUCAUUCAGACACAAAUUAAUGUGCUCUUCUUCGUGGCAUUCCUCACUAUUUUGUGUCCUUGCAAAGGGGUACAAUCCUGAGUUUUCUUUCAAAAACACAUCCCUGGCUCAAGGGCAGACCAGUAGGCUCCAUUGACAUCACAGCCAUUUUAAGAUGAGGCAUAAGAUAAGGAGGAAAGGAGUUAGGGUGCAAAGUCAUGCUGCUUAAAUAACAGCAACCCAGCUUAGACAUCCAAGGAAUCAUAGCCACUGCUGUUGUUACGUAGUUCUUAUGUUUUAUGUUCAAACAACCACAAAGGAAAAACAGAUGCAGGUAUAUUUGGCGGUACACAUUAAAACAUCUCAGCAAACAAAGGCAGGCAAAAAAAAAGAGUUGCCCUUUUAGGAAUACUCUGUUAGAUCUGGCAGCAAGGAGUGGGAGGAGGUCACUGGUAUGCAUUCACUUGUGCCACAGAAGAGAAAGACAAAGCAAAAGCAGAAUAAAUUAACUAAAAAGUUUAUCUUCUAUUUAUCUUAGGUUUUGUAUUAAGGCUAAUGUUUUAAUGGAAAUUGGGUGAUAGUUCUUUCCUGCACUUUCAGCAACUACUGAAUAUUAUUUUGAUCCCACUAACUGCCUUCUGAGGAAGGUACACACCAGGUGCUUGCAAGAGAAGACUUUUCCUGGGCCCUAUUAACAUUUCAACGCUUAAAACAAAACCAUGUCUUUUCUGCAGCCUCUUUGCCAAGUACUUCUGGCACUUUCAUACCUGAGUAUGAGCUAAAGCAAAACUAUUGGCUGCCUUCCAGAUUAAUGAGUUUCCAGUCUCUAAUGAAAAGACAAAACUGUAAGAAGUGCAACACUCUGCUUUUGAGUUGUUUGCAAACACAUCUGCCUGAGAAGCAGCAGCCAUCAGACUACAUUUGACCUUUAUGAGAUCCUGUCUCUCUCCCCUCCCUCCCCUUUUUUCCCCUUUUUGCCACAACUUUUCCUAUUUAAAAAGAGGAGGAUUACCAGGCUAGCAUUAAAAACAAACAAACAACAACAACAACAAAAAAACAGUAAGAACCACUCACAUCUACUUGUCCUUCACUCUACUUGUUUCCUUUUUCUUCAUUUGGUUAUGGUCAUCCACAGAACAGCAGCAGCUGCAGCUCUGCACAGUUCAGCUGUAACUGAUCUAACUGAGGCAUCAGAAUGCUACUAAUGUUCUCACUGCUAAUUCAUACUGCUAUCAUCAGGGCUUCAAAUACAAAAAUGGAUUUUUGUGAUUUUACAGAUGAAUUUGCUCCCAUCUUGGUGUAAUUUUACAAGUGCUUUUUGAGAAAGCAGUCCCCAAGUUCACUGAGGUAAAUCCCAGAGCACCACAUUAGUCACAAGGAAAGAAGAACCAGCAAAGAGAACAAAAAUAUCUAAUACAAUGGGAACCCUCCCUUACAAUACAGUCACAGAAACUCCAAGAUGCUCAAGUUCUAAUAGUGCCAAGAUAUAAACAGCUAUUUAUGAUCACCUUCCUGCACACUGGCAUAAGUCUUUCUAAGCAGUUCUUUGGGAUUGUCACCCUAUGCCUGCAAAACAUAUUAAAACUAUCUUCUCCUAGAAUUGUUUAAUUGGUAUUAAUUACAUUUAAUGCCUGUUACACUCAUCAUUAAGCACAGCUACUACUCAUCCUGUAUCGGUGCUUUCUAAAACAUAACUGCAGACAACAAGAGUACUGCUGGAUCACUCAGGUCUGCUGCCCCCUUGUAUGUUUGCUACAGCACAACAAAUUCAAGGUACAACUGAGCAUCCCAUGAAGUUAAAGAAGUCAGAGUGCCUAUAAGGAAAAUUUCUGCAAGUAUUAGAAGUUCAUCACCAACACUAAUACACAAUCACUUCAGUUUUUAGAGGAGGUUAAAAAUACAUAGGUAGCACUGAGGAAGUACUCUUAGGUUUGUAUUCUGUCUUCUUCCCACUUGUCCUAUCUUGUAUAAUGCCUAACUCUCCUAUGCAAUAAAAUGCCAAAACUUGGCAGUUACUUCUUCACAGAAGUUUCUGGAAAUAGCAGCUGCAAUAACAGAAGCUGUCGAGACUUUCCUUUUACAGGCCUGCAUCAACCCCACUGAACACGACUUGCUGCAUUCUCUAGAUGUACACAUGCCAGCAAGCUCAUUCUGUUGUUUUGAACUAGGAGAAAAGGUAAGCCAACUCUUUUCUCCAUUAAAUUGAUGUAAAGAAGGAAAAACUUAAACUAAACAGCUUUAUUGCCUUAUACUUGUGUGUGCCUGCCUACAAGUUUCAAUGGAUCCUAGGCUGGAAUGCACAUGAUUUUAUCACAAAGAAACUGUAUCUCAGCAGAGGUGAAUAUGAAUAAUACAAAGUCCAGCCAAUAGACAUGGCUGCUGUCUGGGACAGAUAUAGGAACUGGGUAGGAAAACUCCCCUCUUUGCUCCGGAGCAGCAGCAAAAGCCCUACUUUCACCACUGUAGAAGACUUCACCCUCUCCCUCUGCCUAUAUCCACCGCACCCAGCAGCAAUGCCAGCAACAGCCCCACUGAUGAAGACAUUCACUUCAGCAAAGCUGAAUCAGUUCCACUGUCAGGGUAAAUGGACCUGUUUCACACUCAGAAAGCCUACAUCAGUGCUCAGGCUUCCCCAUCCAGACAUGAAAGAGAAGCGCCACAGCUGGUUAAAUAAUUCUGCCCAGAAGAUUAAGCAUGUAACACAGGCUUUUGAAAGAAGUAAGAGUGGCUGUCAUGCUUUUACUUGCCCUGAUAGCCAUGCACUUUAUGAGAGAUGCCAAGUGCUAUUGCAAACAGUCUGUACUUCCAUGACAGUAAGAGCCUCUGCUCUUUUCAUUGCCACAGACCAGCGCUUUUGAUCCAUCAGCAGUGCUUGGCGUUCAUUCCCAAGGGAAAUCCUUUGAAAUGUACCUUCAUCUUGAUCACUGACCUCAAGCUGGUCCAAUACCACAAGCACCAGUGCAAAGAGCUGCAGCUGCUUUGUGCAGAACUUUAUCUGAUUACUAGAUUUCAAAGCAACUAAAUCCAGUCUAAUCCACCACAUAAAUCAGUCAAACUAUUUUUAAUGCAAGUUCUUUCUUUUAAAACAUAACAAGUGGCCUAAAAUUCAGACUAAAAUUUAGCAUAGCUUUUUUUUCUGUCCCAGAACCAGCCUACUACAGUUUAUUGAUCAUUGUAUCAUUGAAGCUUAUAUCAUAUUAAGAAUAUUAUAAUAAAACAUUAAAACCACUUAGGAAAAGCAAACAUAUACAGAUCAAAGAAAAAGUUAUGAAUACAGAUAACCACAAAAGAUGAAAAUAAAACAGCUUAAGCUAUUUAUAAGUAAUUGCCAAUUAUUUAUUUAUUCUGAUACAAAUAUAUCCCAUUAGAACAUCAACAUUUUCUAUUUUGCUUAAAAUAAUCACUAACAAAGAAGUCUGAACAUGAAAAUAAUUCGUUCAUCUACUCAAUUUGACACAGAAGUCACUUUAGAGUAAGCUCUGUCAAUUCUUUUUAAAAAACACAUAAUAUCUGUAACAUACGUAUAUAUAUACUUAUGGAUUGGGAUCUCCAGCUGCCAUGAGACUGAAGAAAUGCUUAUGAACUCAGAAAGCAGGAAUUGUAUUUCAUUCACCCUUUUUGCCAUGGUAAAAAAAGUCAACAUGAUCCAGAUGUUCCAGGUGUUAAAGAAUGCCUACUUGGUAACUACUGUCCAAGACACAAGGUUUAUCUUUAUAGUGCUGAAAUAAUGUAUUUAAUCCAGAGAUAAUACAGCAGCCUUCUUCCAUUACUCUUCAGAGUGGAGAACACGGUUUAACACUUCUUCACAUUUUGGUAAUUUAAAUGAAGUCACAUUAUUUAUCUAAUGGCCAAACAAAUCAGAAAGCAUUAUAGUACAAUGAGGUGGUAUAACUAAGUAGUGAAAUAUUAAAAUGGCAAGUUAGGUUUCCUAUCAAGUGAUAUGAAAUAGUGGGUUUCUUCUGUAUUACACCUAUCAUUAGUAUUACCACAAUUUGUAAUUAUUUUCAGUUCUUUAAGAGAAUGAUUCUGCUGUUCUUUUUAAAGAGGAAGGAAGAAACUGAAUUUUUGAGUGCAUGGGUCAUUGCAACUACCUAGCAUACAUUUAUUUUCCCUCUUAGACCUCUACACUUAUUUUCCUCACCACCACCAUCUCAGAGCUCAUAGAACUCCGAGUUUUGCUGCUGGAAUGUCCAUGAACUUGGAGGAGCCUGGUUUCCUGACAUCAGAAAGCUGUUCUACCAAAGCCACAGUAUGACACCAGUGCAACUUAAAGGAUGUCACAAACUCCUCCAGGGCAGCACUGGCUACAGACAGAGGUUAAAUUUCGUCAUCACCAUGGAUACUCAGGACAAUAUUACAAUAGAGCAUUAGCACUGCUGAUCUCAGGAGCACCAGGUGAAAUGACAGCUAUUCUGGUGUAACAGAAGAGAUAGGAGCAGUAAAUUACUUUUAAAAAUAAAAGCUUGCAUACAAGUUUCCAUCAUUAAAUCGUUGUAGAAUGACACUGUAUAUGUAUUUACAGUACGUCCCUUUUCAUAACCUGUCUUACAGUGAUGCCAGCUGAAAGGAAACACACACACAAGUUUUCCUCAGCUCCCCUAGCCACCGAGCAGCUGUUCCUCUGCAGAAGAGGAGAACAAGGAGAGGGCUCCUCAACGAAAACCAGUUCCAUUACAGGUGGACAUCUCCCUAACUACAGCCCCCAUACUGUGGGCAUGCCCAAGAACACAGAAACCAUGCUCAUGAAAAACACCUAGCGAUAUUAACUCACCAACAGGAAUGGAAAAUGCCUUCAUGUUUUGCCUACACUCAAAUAUACUCUUGCCACUCCAGCUCCAUAUCAAAUACAGAGCAGGCUAGCAAAUUACAGAAGCUGGAGCAGAUCUCGUUAAUAGGUAUUUGACAGAAAGCGCCUCAAUAAUGCACAAAUCUUGUAGGUAAACUUCCUUCUGUUUUGAGUUGAAUGAAUGAGGCCUUGUCCCUUACCUCAGAUGUGGUGAUAGGGUCAACUACCCAAUACCAGUAUCAAAGAAACACAGUAAUAAACAACAGAAGACAAACCAUGUUAGGCCAUGCUGCACAAACUGUAAAUUCAACAACAGCAUAAAACCAACGAUACUUGGAAUGCUAUCAAAUCAACAGAAAAAGUAUUUUUGCAGUGUUCAGACUGCUUCCUCUUGUGCAGGCUUGGAAUAAAACAGUUUAUUCAACUGUGAGAUCCAGAGAGAUUUAGUAAAAACAGCAUGGAAGGAAUGCCAUCACAGGCAUAAAUUAAGAGCCUCAUUGGUAAACAAAGCUACACAGUUCUCAUCCCAUUAGCAGACAAACUUGGUGAUGUUUUCCAGCCUUAAUGAUUCUGUGAUUCUAUGUUUGAGAAGUCUUCUGAACUCUAGUAUAUGGGGCACAAUAAUGGAUGCAAGAGGCCAGGCUGAUGCCAGGCUUGCUGGGAACAUCUGACCUUAAAGAUGCCACCAGCUGAAAAACAGCUGUAUCAUGAAGCAACUCAUGACUCCAGUUAACUGAGUCCUUAUAGAAAAAUAGCACAUGCCUCUUCAUGCACCUGCAAUACGAACCAAAAAAAUUAGCCAGAAAUACUGGCCUUUCAGAGGUACUCAAGUGAACAUGCUUACAAUAGGAAUUUACUUUACGAAGUGUUGUUUGCCAAGUUUGACAAAGUUUGACUGCCAAAUGCUGCAGAUCUAAACAAGCUAUAAUGGUUGCCCACAUCCGACUUACAGCAUUGAAAUUAAUCGUGUGUUGCUGUAAAUCCUGAAAUCUGUGCUACCUCCUUACAGAGGAAUCCAGAUACGUGGCCCAGAACUUAAAAACUUCUGGAUCAGCUCCUAGUGAAACUCCCCUGAGGUGAUCAGGGAGGCUUUAAUCUUUAUCACCCACCAGGCUAGCAAAUUAGCUCUGAGAGGAGCUCUUCUAGGUAGGCAGAUACUGACUGACAUCCAGUUAGGCACAGUAAUACCACCCUGCUGCUUGGCAGUAGGCAGGGCAGUAAGCAACGCAACAUGUGGGCAUCAGGUUUACAAAGUUGAUUGGAGGAUCACCGCCCAACACCAGUUGGGAAGACUGAAAUUCUAAUUAAUCUGUUUAUGCAAGCAAUCUAUUUCCAGCACUAGCAGAUAGUAUUUCAAGAAAAAUUUAAAACAUGACUAGUUUUGUAAGCAGCAUAUUUACUAUACUCAUAUUACCAGUGAUACCUAUGAGUAGCAUGUUUAGAAUGGACUUGAAAACAGAAAACCAGUUCUUUCAGAACCUCCUUAAUAUUUAUAGCUCUAUUGGAGGCAUAGUGUCUACCCUCCACCUGGGGAUAGAUGAGGAGCUGACAGAGAGCUUAUGGGUUAGGGUUAAAAGACGCAGGGGAAGGAGACACUGUAGUGGGAGUCUGCUACAGGCCAACCACCUGGUCUGGAAAACCAAGCAGAUGAGGCCCUCUACAGAUAGAAGCAGCUUCAUGUUCACAAAACAUGGUCCUCAUGGGGGAUUUCAGCCAUCCCAAUACUUGUUGGAGGGACAACACAGCAGAGCACCAGAAAUUGAAGAUGUUCCCGGAAUGCAUUGAUGAUAACUUUCUCUUCCAAGUGGUACAUGAACCCAUGAGAAAAAUGCUAUGCUGGACCUUGUUCUCACUAAUGAGGAGGGACUGGUGAGUAAUGCAAAGCUCAAGGGCAGCUUUGGCUGCAGUGACCACGAAACAGUGUUGUUCAAGAUCCUUACGGCAUCAAAGAGGGUGUGCAGCAAGCUUGCUACUCUGGACUUCAGAAGCACAGACUUCGAACUCUUCAGGGAACUACUUGGCAGGGUGACAUGGGAUAAAGCCCUGGAGGGAAGAGGGACCUAAGAAAGCUGGUCAGUAUUCAAGGACCAUCUCCUCCAAGCCCAGAAGCAUUGCACCCUGAGAAAAAGGCAGGCAGGCAGGCAAGAGUGCCAGGAGGCCUUCAUGAAUCAACUAGGAGUUCCUGGACUUCCUUAAGUAGAAAAAUAAAGUAUAUAGGGAGUGGAAGCAGGAGCAGGUUGCCUGGGAGGACUACAGGGGAGUGGAAGCAGGAGCAGGUUACUUGGGAGGACUACAGAACAGUCGUCUGAGCAGCUAGGGAUCAUGUUAGGAAAGCUAAAACCUAGAUAGAAUGAAAUCUAGCCAGGUACAUAAAGGGGAACAAGAAGAAAUAUUACAGGUUUAAUUAGUGAUUAAAGGUCAGGGAAGAUGUGGGUCCCUCUCUGGGAGGAAACUGAAUACCUGGUCACAAGGGAUAUGGAGAAAGCCAAGGUGCUCAAUGGCUUCUUUGCUUCAGUCUUCGCUGGCAAAGGCUCUAUUCAUGCUGCCCAAGCUGCAGAAAGCAAUGGUAAGAAGCUGCUCACUCUAAGUGAAGAUCAGGUUCAAGACCGUCUAAAGAACCUGAAGGUGCACAAGUCCAUGGGAACUGAUGAGAUCCAUCCACAGGUUCAGAGGGAACUGGCAGAUGAAGUUGCCAAGCCACUAUUUAUCAUAUUUAAAAGGUUGUGGCAGUCUGGUGAAGUUCACACUGAUCGGAAAAGGGGAAACGUAACCCCCAUUUUCAAGAAGGGAAAAAAAAAAGAUCCAAGGAACUACAGGUCAGUCAGUAUCACCUCUGCACCUGGCAAGAUCACAGAGCAGAUCCUCCUGAAGGCCCUACUAAGGCACAUGGAAAAUAAAGAUGAGGUGAUUGAUGAUAACCAGCAUGGCUUCACCAAGGGCAAGUCAUGCCUGACAAAUGUAGUGGCCUCUUAUGAUGGAGUCAUAGUGUCAGUGGAUAAAGGAAGAACAACUGAUGUCAUCUACCUAGAUUUGUGCAAAGCAUUUGACACUGUCUGACACAUCAUCCUGGUCACCAAAUUAGAGAAAAAUCAAUGUGAUGGAUGGAUCACUCACUGCAUAAGGAAUUGGCUGGAUGGUUACACUCAGAAAGUUGCAGUUAACAGCUCAGUGUCCAAUGUGCUGGGAUUGAUGUUAUUUAACAUCCUUGUAGGUGACAUGGACAGUGGGACCAGACUCACGCUCAGCAAGUUUGCAGACAACACCAAGCUGAGUGGUGCAGAUGACAUGCUAGAGGGAAGGAAUACUAUCCAGGGAGAAUCAGAAUCACCAAGGUUGGUAAAGACCUGUAAGAUCAUCCAGUCCAGCCAUCCACCUAUAACCAAUAUUUCCCACUAAACCAUGUCCCUCAGUACAACAUCUAAACAUUUCUUGAACACCUCCAAGGGAUGGAAGGACCUGGACAGGCUGCAGAGGUGGGCCCAUGCCAACCUCAUGAAGUUCAUCAAAGUCAAGUGCAAGGUCCUGCAACUGGGUCAGGGCAAUCCCAAGCACAGAUAGAUGUUGGGCAGAGAAUGGCUUGAGAGCAGCCCUGAGGGGAAGGAUUUGGGGGUGUCAGUUGAUGAAAAAUUCAAUAUGAGCUGGCACAGUGCACUUGCAGCCUAGAAGGUCAACUGUAUCCUGGGUUGCAUCAAGAGAAGCUUGACCAGAAGGUCAAGGAUAGUGAUUCUUCCCCCCUGCUCCUGUGACACCCUACCUGGAGUACUGUGCCCAGUACUCUGGGGCCCUCAACACAAGAACAUGGAGAUGUUGGAGCAGGUCCAGAGGAAGGCCACAAAAAUGAUCAGAGGGCUGGAACACCUCCCCCAUGAGGACAGGCUGAGAGAGCUGGAGCUCUUCAUUCUGGAGAAGAGAAGGCUCUGGGGGGGAACUUUAUAGCAGCCUUCCAGUACCUGAAGGGGCCUACAGAAAAGCUGAGGAGGGACUUUUUACAAGGGCAUGUAGCAAUAAGAUGAGGGGAAAUGGUUUUAAACUGGAAGAGGGUAUAUUCAGACUAGAUAUCAGGAAGAAAUUAUUUCCUGUGAGAGUGGUGAGACACUGGAACAGGUUGCCCAGCAAGGUUGUGGAUUCCCUCUCCCUGGAAGCAUUCAAGGCCAGGCUGGAUGGCUGUGAGCAGCCUGAUCUAGAUGGAGGUGCCUAUAGCAGGGGGCUAGGCUAGAUCAUCUUACAGAUCCCUUCCAACCCAACCCAUUCUAUGAUUCUAUGAUAACAUCUUCAUUAAUUCAGAUAUUAACACCUGAAAACAGCAAUUUUUUGCCUUAAUAUUUCUGCAUCCAAGAUCUGCAUUUGCAGCUAAGAGAUAAUGACAUCUUUAACUGUACAGUAAUAACUAAACAGUUAGUCAGCAGCAGUUGUUUAAUCAAGUUUGUUUUGUUUUUCAACUGAAGUGUUUAAGUGGCAUUGAAGGACACUGGGUGACUACAAUUUUUGAUCACUAAAUAAUACCUGUCUACACUCUAACCGGUUUCCUACUGUAGGAAAAAAUAUUUCUACCAUUCAUUUCACCAUGAAGAAGGCAUGUGAAACAGAGGGAAAGAAUCACAUCCUAAAGUUGCCUCUUUCCCUCCAAUGAUUUUAAAAGGAACCUGAAGUACAGCUAAGGGAAAGGCAUCUACAUCAGGCAAAUCCUAUGCACUGUUCCUGGCAAAGUCUCCAGGAACUAUGUGAUCACUGCACUUAGGUACAAGAAUCACACCAUUAUCAUUUAUGUUUUAAACUUGCGUACAAAAUAUUUUUGUGUUCCAUUUUUAUUUCCCAG